rnacentral:rRNA from 1 species
UCAAGCAAGAAGAGGUUUGCGGCGGAUGCCUGGGAGCUGUCCGGCGAAGAAGGCCGCGGUAAGCUGCGAAAAGCUGCGGGGAGGAGCACACAUCCUGAGAUCCGCAGAUAGCCGAAUGGGGUAACCCGUAUGCCGCAAGGCAUACACCGCGCGCGGGAAGAAGAUACUGCGGCGGAGCGAUACUGCGUGAAGUGAACCAUCUAAGUAACGCGGGAAGAGAAAUCAAAAGAGAUUGCGCAAGUAGCGGCGAGCGAACGCGCAGGAGCCUAAACCCUUAUGUAGGGUGUUGCAGGGCCGCACGGGGAUGACCCGUGGAGUUGGUGAGAAAACCGAUAUGUAGCGGAAGCGUCUGGAAAGGCGCGCGAGACAGCGUGAAAGCCGCGUAUGCGAAAGAUAUCGGACUCCAUGGUGCGGUACCUAAGUAGGGCGGGGCACGAGAAACCCUGUUUGAAUCCGGGUCGACCACGAUCCAAGGCUAAAUACGAGACAGCUACCGACAGCGAAGAGUACCGUGAGGGAACGGCGAAAAGAACCCCGGUGAGGGGAGUGAAAGAGAACCUGAAACCGCAAACCGACAAGAUGUCACGGCGCGCGAGCGUUGUGGCGUGUCUUUUGUAGAAUAAACCUGCGAGUUGCGAUGCGCGGCGAGGCUAAGGGUUGGGAGAUCCGGAGCCGGAGCGAAAGCGAGUGUGAAAAGUGCGAAAAGUCGCGUGUCGCAGACCCGAAGCCAAGGUGAUCUAAUUAUGGGCAGGCUGAAGGCAGGGUGAAACCUGUUGGAGGGCCGAACAGUAAUCUGUUAAAAAAGGUAGUGAUGACCUGUGAUUAGGAGUGAAAGGCUAAACAAACCUGGAAAUAGCUGGCUCUCCCCGAAAUGCCUUUAGGGACAGCCUCAUGCAAAGCGGAAGGAGGUAAAGCACCGGAUGGGAUAGGGGGCGUCACAGUCUACCGACACCAAUCGAACUCAGAAUGCCAUCCGCCAACGCAUGGGAGUGAGACUGUGUGCUCCAAGGUUCAUAGUCGAGAGGGAAACAGCCCGGACCGACGGCAAAGGUCCCGAAAUAACGCUCAGUGUGAAAUGAGGUGCGUCUGCACAGACAGCCAGGAGGUUGGCUCAGAAGCAGCCAUUCCUUAAAAGAGUGCGUAACAGCUCACUGGUCGAGCAGGCGUGCGCAGACAAUGUAACGGGGCUAAGCGUUAUACCGAAGCCGCGGGCCCGCAUUGUAAGAUGCGGGCGGUAGGGGAGCAUUGCGCUAACCGAAGAAGGCGUACCUGUGAGGGGCGCUGGAGGAAGCGGAAGAGAGAAUGCAGGCACAAGUAACGAAAAGACGGGUGAGAUUCCCGUCCGCCGAAAGCCUGAGGAUUCCCGGGUAAAGGCAAUCUGCCCGGGGUAAGUCGGCCCCUAAGGCGAGGACGAAAGUCGUAGUCGAUGGGAAAUCGGUUCACAAUCCGAUACCCGAUUCAGUUUUGAAGGCAGGACGCAUGAGGUGAAAUCCGGCAGAAGAACGGUAGUUUCUGUCCAAGCGGUAAGGUGUUGAGAGGGCGGUUAAAAGAGCCCUUGAGCUGAGCUGUUACGGGGGGCGGAGCGCAGGCGAAGCGAAGCGGAUGUAAUCAAGGUGCCGGGAAAUACUGUCUAAAGCUAGGCUGAGUCGGACCGUACCGGAAACGGACACACGCAGGCAGGAUGAGUAAUCUAAGGCGCACGAGCGACCCCGCGUUAAGGAACUCGGCAAAAAGCACACGUAACUUCGGAAGAAGUGUGGCUCACGCUGAUAAGGAUGUGAGCGGCAGAAAGCAGGCCCAGGCGACUGUUUACCAAAAACACAGCCAUCUGCGAACCAGUAAUGGGACGUAUAGGUGGUGACACCUGCCCGGUACCGGAAGGUUAAGGGGAGGGGUUAGCAGGAAUGCGAAGCUCCGAACCGAAGCCCCGGCAAACGGCGGCCGUAACUAUAACGGUCCUAAGGUAGCGAAAUUCCUUGUCGGGUA